UAAAGCAGCAAAAGUGGCUAAGAACAGAAACUGAGAAUCAAAAUUUCACAGGUUAAUACAAAGAGGGGAAUUAUAAUUGGAAAAAUAUGAAACAAUCCAACUCAUGCUUCAUUUGUUAACAGAAUAAUGGACCAUAAUCACCACAAGGACAUGAGUUAACUAGAAGCACUUGCUUUUCAAUGCAAUUUUAGCAGGCAACAGAUUUUAAAUCCACAAUUUUUCUCUGAGACUAACCUAUGCAGGUUAAUUUUCAUCAGUCCUAUACUUGUAUUAGCAAUAUUAUCAAUCUCUCAUUCAACUAUUGAAAAAUAAAAUACCAAAA
rnacentral:misc_RNA from 1 species